rnacentral:tRNA from 1 species
GGUGGCUCAGUGGUAGAGCGCUUGCCUUGCAUGCAUGAGGCCCUGAGUUCGAUUCCUAGUACCA